rnacentral:rRNA from 1 species
UACAGAGGGUGCGAGCGUUGUCCGGAAUCACUGGGCGUAAAGGGCGCGUAGGUGGCGCGACAAGUCAGUGGUGAAAGUUCGACGCUCAACGUCGAAUCGGCCACUGAUACUGUUGGGCUUGAGCACUGUAGAGGCUAAUGGAAUUCCGGGUGUAGCGGUGGAAUGCGUAGAGAUCCGGAAGAACACCGGUGGCGAAGGCGGCUGACUGGACCUGACCUGACGCUGAGGCGCGAAGGCGUGGGGAGCGAACGGG